UAUAUCUCUGGACGGACCGUACGUAUACAACAAAAUACUUUGAGUCUUUCAAGGGGUCGCGUCUCGUUCGACCGAAUCUCGAAAAGCCAAUUCCAGGAUCUUUCUUCCUUUCGAAGCCGUUCCGUUACGACCAAACCGCCUCCAUAAUCAAACUUUCCUCGUAGAUAUUUUCGACCUUCGAACGAGCCACCACGCCGUUGGACGAAAUCGAAUCGGGUUUCGGACAGAGAAAAUCGCGAUCGAGGAUCGAGGUUUCCGAAGGGGGGGGAGUUGUUUUAAGGAUACUACUGACCUGCUAUACUAUAGAGGGAGACCGAGCUGUCUCUAGAGAAGCGAGCCGAGCCCCCCAGGCUUCCAAGGGGACUCUUACCACACUGGUAGCUGCGAAGCGGCUUGGCCGGCGGCACCCCGCCACCACCUAUCCAACCAUCCGGAAAACCAAACAAAAACCAAUGUACCCAGCUGAUCCGAUGCACGUCGCGUUUCUCCCCGAAUUCAUUCCUUGCUAAUUCGCUUGGCAAAAGUGCACGAUUUCUAUCAUGAUAGAAGUGUUCGCGAUUUCUUCUCGUUUAAUUUUGGAAACAAUUAGAAGUUGGUCGGGUAUACUAAGAUGACGAUAAUAGGAAAGAACAGUGUGUAAUCAUCUGUAAUAUUAAUUCAAGAUUAAUUUAGGCGUGAUGUGAUGUAUUAGACUUAUAAUCUUCGUGUUUGUGUGCGUGUAUGUGGUGCUUAGAAGAUUUGUCAGUGUUUAGGGAGUGACAGGAUAUUAUAAAGAUAGUCAUAAUAAGUCAAACGAAGAUUAAAAUUGCGUGAUAGAAUAGAAACGUGAAAUAAAGAAAUAAAGAUACAUUCUAUCAUUUAUAGAUCUUCAAAAAUCCAUACCUUAAUUUUUUUUUUUAUUAAUAUAAGCGAACGUCGUAGAAUCUUUUUUUCAGAAAUUACGAGCAUGAAAUUUCAAGCAAUUCGUCAUCUUACCCUUAAUUAAUAUCCUAAAAAAUUUCCUUUAUUGGUAUGCACUCUUCCAGCGCGUCAUAGCAAAGACGCGAAACGGACCGUCGUCGAUCGUUCUUCAUCAACGACGAUCGGUUCUCGACAAAGUCUCGAGUCGACGAACGCAAAUCGCGGAAUCGAGACAACCUCCCGUGAUCGCCGAUCGAACGGACGGCACACGCGUACAUCACACACAAAGGAUUCGUGCUUCCAUUCCCCUUGAGGGGAAGGAUAUUCAAAGCUUACGGGCCGUGCUUUAUGCGAAACGAUUCAAACGAGUACGAGAGAUAAAUGCGAUACUCGUUGGAUCGUCGACGGAUAUGGGGAACGAUCGAGCAUUUGUAAUUUGUUAAUAUUUAAACAAGCGAGGGAUCAAUAUAUGCAUUGAUGUUAGAUAGGUACUCGAUAUUUGAUCGAGAAGAGUCGUCACAGCGUGCGGAGAAUAUAAUAUGCAUGGCGAGCACAGAGGAAUCUAUCAGAAGUCCUUGUUUCGUGUAUAUCAACCCUCGGAAUGUGGGGUACGAUAAUGGAGUACGUAGAAGAUGAUCUAUAUCUAUUAGAUUAGAUCUAAAUUGAUUUACAUGAUUUAAUCCGAUUAUCGGUUUAACACCGAUCGGAUCAAAAAUGAUUUAGGAUUACGAAGAUUAAUACUUGUAGAAUGAUAGUUGGAUAGUUUUGGAAUAUAACGCAGACUGUGAAAAUAAAUUCAUCCAAUAAGUAAAAUGACAAGAGAUUAAACAUAAUGAAAAAUGUAAAUGUUUAAAAUGUGGAUUUUAUAAAAUUAUUAUUCAAUCAUACCUCUAUUCCGAGGAUUAAAUAUAUCAGUAUUCAAUUCUGUGUGAUUUUUAGCAUUUCAAUUCGUAUAAUUUUUAAAACAUGUGGAUAUUAAAAUUUUAUCGAAAAAAAAAUUAUGAUUUAACGUCAAAAAAAGGAAAAUAAUAUUGUUAUUUUCGUUGUUGUACCAUUCAAAAAAAAUGUAAUUUGAUAUUUUAUAUAUAAAAAAAUUACGGAAAA